rnacentral:rRNA from 1 species
GACGAACGCUGGCGGCGUGCUUAACACAUGCAAGUCGAACGGAAAGGCCCUGCUUUUGUGGGGUGCUCGAGUGGCGAACGGGUGAGUAACACGUGAGUAACCUGCCCUUGACUUUGGGAUAACUUCAGGAAACUGGGGCUAAUACCGGAUAGGAGCUCCUGCUGCAUGGUGGGGGUUGGAAAGUUUCGGCGGUUGGGGAUGGACUCGCGGCUUAUCAGCUUGUUGGUGGGGUAGUGGCUUACCAAGGCUUUGACGGGUAGGCGGCCUGGGAGGGUGACCGGCCACAUUGGGACUGCGAUAGGGACCAGACGCGUACGGGAGGCAGCAGGGGGGAAUAUUGCAGAAUGGGCGGAAGCCUGAGGCAGAAACGCCGCGUGCGGGAUGCCGGCCUUCGGGUUGUAAACCGCUUUCGCCUGUGACGAAGCGUGAGUGACGGUAAUGGGUAAAGAAGCACCGGCUAACUACGUG